AAAUACUGAAAAAAAUUGGGCUGAACUAGGCGAGAAGACAAGGAAUGAGGAACUAACUUACACUGACUUUGGACACUGGUAUUCAUCUUGGGUCUCCUCCAAAGCCCUCUGUGUUAAAGGCUCGGUCCUUUCCUUGGUGCUAUGGGAAAGUGGCACAUGUAAGAGGUGGAACCUAGUGGAGAAAGUUCUGUCACUGGGGGACAUGCCCUUGAAAAGGACAUUGGGACUCUAGCCUCUUCUCUUUUCUUUCCAAGGAGGCUGCCAUGAUGUACUCUCCUGCUACCGCAUCCAAGUGACCUAAGGUUGAAAACUCUGGAAUGAUGAGUCAUGAUAAACCUUUCCUUCAUAUAAGUUGUUGACCUCAGCCUCCAGUACUCGCCAGAGGCCAUAAGAAGAAGUUUCAUAGACUUACCGUGUAUGAAAGGACACUAAAUCUUCUAUCUCCUGCAGGCCAAAUAGGAAAUGAAAAGGUUUAUUGUACUCUGUGACAGAGGCAAAACAUCUGUUAGCAAAGACAAGGGAGGAGAGGGAGAUUUUCCAUCUUCCUUAUGAACAUUCACAAAGAAAUACUGAUAAAUUUACUGUCACUAUGAAGUGACAGCUUAUCACUUUCCAAGAUCCCUGGUUUGCAGAAGUAUCAAAUGGUUCAUGACUACUAGAAACCGAAGUGUGAAUAUUCUCCACAGCAGAACUGCACCUCAGCAUCAAAUUUAGCUAAAUGGAACCAGAAAGAGGAUUCAGAAGGGAUAUAAACUCAGUGUUGUCAUUACCCAACAUUCAGUAUAGUCCUAGAAGUGCAACUCCACUUCCUAUAAAGGGUAGUUUUUCUUUCAAGGAAAUCCUCUUGCAAUCCAUCAUUUCACUGAACUGUAUUUGGUUCCAGGGAAUCAGGAAAAUAGCUCAAGCCAUAAAACUAUUUCAACAAUACCUCUAAACUGUUAUGGAGUUUUGUUUCCUUUCCUCAAGAGGGAUGGGUGGUGGGGUCCCUGUAAAUGGAUAUUCUGAGGUCAGAUGGGUUUACACUUGUGGCAUAUGGGUGUGUGACUGUGGAAGGUCAGGAUUAGAGCGAGCUUACCUUGGCACCAGCCGUACCCAGAACUAUCCAGAAUGGGGUCUGGUGCAUAACAGAUAUUGUUAUAUUGCAAUUGCUUAUUGGAUUAGAUCUUACUAGACCAAUAACCAGUGUGAAGGAUUCAUCUGCCCGUGAAUCUUUGGAAAAGUAUGUCCAUGGCCCCAACUACUUACAGUAUGCAUUCAUUUAUUUGUUUAUUUGUUUAUGAGUUUGUGUCUCAUCUCCUUGCACAAGAACUGUGAAACUUUUUCAAUUCACACUUUUUCACAAUGUAGGCAGUUUGAAUUUUCAACUCGUUUUUUCAUAUGUCAAUGGGGUUUGUAUUUGAAUUUUCCUUAAUUUUUGAAUUGGGAUUAAAAUUAGUAAAGUGAUUGAUAUACAAUAGGGAAGACAUGCCAAAAACCAUCUAUGUUUUUAAUUUUGAAACUCAAAUAUUGGCUUGCUUGGGACUGAACCUUAGGAUUAUGUGAUUUCUAUUCUCUUGUAUUUUUGUUUUACCAUUUGUGUGUGUGUUCCUCUAUUAUCUUUUUGCUUCCUACUUUACACUUUAUACAUCAUACCUGCCUACUCUUCUAUAAAGAAAUCAGUCUAUGACAGUAGGUACAGUGUAAACCUCUGCCUUGAUUGCAGAAAUUAACCCUCAAACUUCCCCAAACAUGCCAACAACAGGGAGCGAUUUCAGUCUUACAAUGGACUCAAGCAGCUGGUAUAGUUAGAAUCUAAGGGCAGCUUUUCUGUUUCUUGCUACUUUUUCCCCCUUUUCCCUCAGCAGAAGCUAAAACUUUAUUAUAAAACCACAGAUAAGUAUAUCAACUGCUAGGAGUCUGGCACGUCAGAAUACAAGGAAAUAAGAGAUAAGAGAAUUUGGUCAAAUACAAAAAGUACUGUGGAAUUUAAACCAAAUGACAGCAGAUAAGGCUUUCUCUGAGUUUCUAUUAAAAAUGUAAUAAAUAAGAGAUCCAAAAUUUUCUCCUAGUCCAGAACUUUUGUUCCUAUAUUGCUUGUCACAAAUGCAUAGUAUUUUUGUCAAAGCACAGAUUCUAUUCACAGUUGCAAACACAUGCUCUUCUGGAGUCAUGUUACAGGUAUGACAGCUUCGGAUUGAUUUCCUAUGAGUCUUUCAGCAAAGUCUAAGAUUUGAAUAAACAGACUUUAUUUACACACUUAAGGAAGAAGCUCCCUAAGUCUGUAUGGAAACCUGUGUAAAAGCAAAGAGGACUCAGUGAGAUCUCCAGGAAUCAGAACUCUAAAUCUACAAAGGAAUGUUGAGAACUUUCCUUAUGAUGCUCCUUAGGGAAAGAAAAUACAGAAAUUUUUAUUUCAUUGGAUUAUCUUAUUUCCAAUGUAUGUAAUUCUGUAAGGACCCCAAGGUUCUGUUAGUAAUGAUUCUUAGAGAUAUUUCAUGAUCCAUUAUGGGAUUGAAAUUGACCGAAAUCAGAUAGAUCUUUAAAAGUGUAUAUGGUCCAUCUCAAUAAGUUUGCAUAGAUACAAGGAGACCAUCUUGGUGCCUUUGAUCUUAGGGAGAGAGGAGAGACAGGAAAAUCUAGACGAGAAGAGGCCCUGCUGGCAUCCGGAUGGCAGGGUCUCUGGAGUCUGCCCCUUGAGUUUGAUCUGUGCUCAGGUGACGGGCUCCUGUGGUGUCUGCUGCUUCUCAGAAGGGCAAUUGCCCUAAUCCAUGAAGUGUCUCCCUGCCUAAUAUGGAGCAUGAGCCACCCUCAGCCUCCCUCACUCCCAGUCUCUAUCUGCCCAAAAGGUCACUGUAUUUGGAUAAUACGUAGUAUUCAAGCCAUUUUAUUUUAUAUCUUUUGUUCUUCCGUGAUGUAUGUGUGUAUAUGGUUUUUGUGGAGUUAGAUUUAUGUUUUUAAAGCAUUCAGUUAUAGACAGUUUCAGACUAUGAUGUCUAUGUAUCUAGUAGCUUGAAAAAAAAUAGGCCAAACCUUAUGUGAUUCAUUAUAUUAUGCCAGCUGAAAGAUUGGAACACUAUUAUCAAUGUUCAGGAAUAAUUUCCAUUGAACACAGGAAUAGAUCCUUCCUGGGUACUAAAUUCAGUUCCAUAAAUAGGUUACAUUACGCUAAUAGCUCUGAGUAUCAAAUCAUGAGUGACUGUAACUAUCCACAAGCAAAACCAGAGCCAUUUAUGAAUAGGUUGUGUGGAUAAUUGUGGCAUUUUUAAUGUCAUGAUUCAACACCUAAUUUGUUAAUAGUUCAAGUUUGAGUGCCCUGUUAUUUUAUAGUAUCAAGUCUUAGAUUUUCUAGGUAAAGAGAGAUGAUGCUAUUCAGAAGGCAUUAAGAAAUCUAACUAUAUGUGGACCAUGGAUGAAGAAGAUGCAGUCUUCCUAAAGUUAACUAUUGAGAUGCUCAUAUAAUUAUCACAGUUAAGACAGUCUAACUCUGGUGACUUAAAAAGGUACCAUUUUGUAAACUAUCUAGUUCUCUUACUGAAACAAUUUGAGAUCUGAUAUCAGCUGAACAUUUCCACUUAUUAUAAAUAAGAAUCUCAUAAAUAUUUGCAGCUUCUGUGCUAUACUAUGACCCAGUAUAAGAAAUGAAUGUGAGACUGAAUAAAGGCUGAAAACCUUACCCCUAUGUUUCCUAUGGUUCCUGUGAAAAAAUCCACUUCAGCCUCAUAUCUGAAUAGCCACAUAGAGUUCCUUCUUGCCCUGUGCAAAAAUAGCUGAUUAAUGACUAGCUAGAGUAAAAUGAAUAACGAGUGUGAGGUAUGUAGACAGUAUCUGCAACAUGCCCUUCUAUAAGUGCUGAUUAUCAUUAUCAUACUUCUUACUUUUAUUUGUCAAUUCGGAUUUCUAGGUGAGGGAACAUUUAUUAAUCAUCUACUUUUUCGGAGUCUCCUAUCAAAACAAAAUGUAUAGAAACUGGGACUUUUGACAGACUAAGACCAUAGGUCCUUACUCUUUGUGUGUUUAAUUUCUAAAAAUUUGACCAUUUAUUCUAAAUUUUAAAACUGUAUGCUUCUGUGUUCAUAACUUUAUAUCACAUGAGAUAGAAUUUCUUGACUAAAGAAAUCCUG